GGCUCUGUGGCGCAACGGAUAGCGCGUUGGACUUCUAACGCCUGGUCGACAGGAAUUCAAAGGUUGCGGGUUCGAAUCCCGCCAGAGCCA
rnacentral:tRNA from 1 species